GAUUACUGGGCGUAAGCGCACGCAGGCGGUCUGUUAAGUCAGAUGUGAAAUCCCCGGGCUUAACCUGGGAACUGCAUUUGAAACUGGCAGGCUUGAGUCUCGUAGAGGGGGGUAGAAUUCCAGGUGUAGCGGUGAAAUGCGUAGAGAUCUGGAGGAAUACCGGUGGCGAAGGCGGCCCCCUGGACGAAGACUGACGCUCAGGUGCGAAAGCGUGGGGAGCAAACAGGAUUAGAUACCCUGGUAGUCCACGCCGUAAACGAUGUCGACUUGGAGGUUGUGCCCUUGAGGCGUGGCUUCCGGAGCUAACGCGUUAAGUCGACCGCCUGGGGAGUACGGCCGCAAGGUUAAAACUCAAAUGAAUUGACGGGGGCCCGCACAAGCGGUGGAGCAUGUGGUUUAAUUCGAUGCAACGCGAAGAACCUUACCUGGCCUUGACAUCCAGAGAACUUAGCAGAGAUGCUUUGGUGCCUUCGGGAACUCUGAGACAGGUGCUGCAUGGCUGUCGUCAGCUCGUGUUGUGAAAUGUUGGGUUAAGUCCCGCAACGAGCGCAACCCUUAUCCUUUGUUGCCAGCGGUUCGGCCGGGAACUCAAAGGAGACUGCCGGUGAUAAACCGGAGGAAGGUGGGGAUGACGUNCAGUCAUCAUGGCCCUUACGGCCAGGGCUACACACGUGCUACAAUGGCGCAUACAAAGAGAAGCGACCUCGCGAGAGCAAGCGGACCUCAUAAAGUGCGU
rnacentral:rRNA from 1 species